rnacentral:rRNA from 1 species
GUGAACGCUGGCGGCGUAGAUUAUGCAUGCAAGUCGAACGGUGCCGCAAGGCACAGUGGCAAACGGGUGAGUAACACGUAAGUAACCUGCCUCUAAGUGGGGAAUAACUUCGGGAAACUGAGGCUAAUACCGCAUAUGGUUUGCUCUCGUUGGAGGGUUUACCAAAGCCGCAAGGCGCUUGGAGAGGGGCUUGCGCCCGAUUAGCUGGUUGGUGGGGUAACGGCCUACCAAGGCUGUGAUCGGUAGCUGGUCUGAGAGGAUGGUCAGCCACACUAGGACUGAGACACGGCCCAGACUCCUACGGGAGGCAGCAGCAAGGAAUUUUGCGCAAUGGGCGAAAGCCUGACGCAGCAACGCCGCGUGAGGGAUGAAGGCCUUCGGGUUGUAAACCUCUUUUGUCAGGGACGAAUAAUGACGGUACCUGGCGAAUAAGCUUCGGCUAACUACGU